rnacentral:rRNA from 1 species
UACGUAGGGUGCAAGCGUUGUCCGGAAUUAUUGGGCGUAAAGAGCUCGUAGGUGGCUUGUCACGUCGGGUGUGAAAUCCCGGGGCUUAACCCCGGGUCUGCAUUCGAUACGGGCUGGCUAGGGUCCUUCAGGGGAGACUGGAAUUCCUGGUGUAGCGGUGAAAUGCGCAGAUAUCAGGAGGAACACCGGUGGCGAAGGCGGAUCUCUGGGCCAUUACUGACGCUGAGGAGCGAAAGCGUGGGGAGCGAACAGG